UACAGAGGUCUCGAGCGUUAGGCGGAAUCACUGGGCUUAAAGCGUGCGCAGGCGGCUUCGCAAGUCAGACGUGAAAUCCCCGGGCUUAACCUGGGAAUGGCGUUUGAAACUACGGAGCUGGAGUAUGGCAGAGGGGGGUGGAAUUCCACGUGUAGCGGUGAAAUGCGUAGAUAUGUGGAGGAACACCGAUGGCGAAGGCAGCCCCCUGGGCCAAUACUGACGCUCAUGCACGAAAGCGUGGGGAGCAAACAGG
rnacentral:rRNA from 1 species